rnacentral:sRNA from 1 species
CACACACCCUCACCCCCAAAUUGCUCCCUGCUCUUCCACAGCCAGAACCUAGCAUCCAUCAAAAGGGGAGAGGACACGUUCUCCUGUGUUCAGGUCAAGGGUUACAGCAACACCAAUGGGCUUUAAGUUAAUGAAUCACAUCACGUUCCCCCAAAAAAUAAGAAGCUGGGGGUGGGGAGCUAGAGAGAAGGGCCUCUGAAGCGAAUGGAGUGGGGGGGAAGGGCGUUUCCUUGUGGUAUGCCGCCGUAAGCCUCUCCCCUAAAUGCUUCCUCUUUGCAUUAAAAACAACACCCUAUACAAGCAGCUAUAGGAUCCCUUUCCUCUUUGCAAAUUAGUCACCCCGCCCCCAGGGCCCAAACAAUAACAGUUUCUCCCGACGGUGUGACGCCUAUGAAAUCAGCCGCUUCUCUCCACUGGCUUGUGCUCCUCUAUAGAUGGGGACUGGUAGGUUAAAAAAACAACAAAAAAAAGACGCGUCCCCAUUCUACAGAUGAGGGACUGGCUGGCCCUGGACAGCCCAGGCUGUGUGCCAAGGAUCCAAUCUCCACCCCCAGUACCUAAGCCCUGAGGCGGCACCUGAUACUCCAAAAGCAACAAAUAUUUAUCAAAUGCUUAAGCAGGGUGCAGGUGCCGUCAAGGGGAGCAGCGUGGUAGGAAACCCUACAAGAACAUGGAGAUUUCUCCGGGCAGCCAAUGUGAAGAUGCUUCUGGGAGGCUUCUUCCGCUGCUACCCACCCCAGUGGCUGAAUGGCCAGGAGAUGCAGCUGACCCAGAGCCCCAUUUCCAUGCACACCUCCCACACACCGCUCCUGAACAAAGCGAGGCCCAGGCAAAGCCACCUGUGCCCCGAGGACACAGCUCAGGGCUCAGCCCCACACAGCCGGCCAGCACUUUGUCACUCUGAGGAGCACCGAGACGUGAAGGAUCCACACGCCCUUACCCUGAAGGAUGGCACCUGGGGCUGAGGGGGAGUCCAGCCCUAGAAGAAAACCUUCCACUGAGAAGUCUUAAGCCUUAACUCAAAUCGUGGGGGGCCAGGGAAUGGGGCCAUAUAUAAUUUUUAAAAUUAUCAGUGAGGAAAGGACUAGUGCUAAACUGGCCUUCUCCUUGGGGUGGUGGCCAUUAAGCAUGAACAGUGAGCCCUCCUCUCACACACAGCCUCCAGAGACACUGAAUGCUCAUCUCCCUUGACUGUGAAGAGCUGGGAUAUGUGUGUACAAACACACACACACACACACACACACACACACACACACACACGGCGUUUCAUCUUUCAUUCUGUAAAGAUACCCAGGUACAUAAAUAUUAAUCAGACACAGAACUGGUCUUUCCUCUCGGCCCAUUCUGAAGGCAUGGUUGUGAUCUUUAACCAUAUUUACAGAUAUCCAAAGACAGUUUCUGUCUUGUUGGAACUGUCAUAAAUGGACGUCUGAGAAAUCCAGGAGCAAGUUCGGGCAGAGAGAAACCCUUCCUAUCCAGGAUUGGCGGGUUUCCGUUCCAGGGAACGACUUACUGCUCCCCAAGGCUUUUCAACAAAUAAAUUGACAAGUACCUUCAGACUCCACCAGAAAAGCCAGUUGCUCCAAGUUUGGAUUAGCUAAACUUGUGCGUUUUGGUUUUUUUGUUGCGUUUUUUUCCCCCUUUUGAGGAUCAACUUUCUCUCAAAAUGCCAGGAAGGCAUUGUUGACACAGGACCCAGAGAGGGCAGAAGGCGCAGCCCAGUCAAGCCCAAACCUUAAGUACACAUGAACGAAUUGAUUCAGUCUACCUCAGACUUAUUUCUGAGUAAUAGAGAGCAGAGAAUUGGGACCAAUCCUAUGUUGCAAACGAUGUCUCGGGUAAGGUAACAGCCUCAUCUUCCACAGGCAAGCAACACGUUUUUUUGAGUACCAGCUCCGAAGAAAUGUUUCACCACUGUUUUUUCCAGCUCCUGGAGAGCUUCAACUGUGAGGCCGGAUUUUUAAGAUAAAGGACCGGAAUUCUAUCUAGCUAGGUGGCAUUUGCAUACAAAUUCUCUCUAGGGGUUUGAUAAGAGAAGUAGCAAAGGUUGAGGAGGGGGCUAACUCCAUUCCUAAUAAUUCCAUGCCUCCCCUCCCCCGAAUCCGGUGACGGGUUCCAUUACAGCACAAUUGAGAAAACUUUUGUCCCCGAGUGUUUCCAGGUCACAGCCCCAAGAUUCCCCUCUGAAACAGCAGGUCCUGCUCUCCCACUAUGGGGAAAGCCUGACCCGCAGGAACUCAAGCUUGCAGGAGGGAACUUAGGCCCCUGCCUUCCGGUCUCACCUGGAUCCUUAGGCCAAGGGUGCAAUCAACGUGCACGGCGAGGAGGGCGAGCAGGAAUGGCCGGAGGAGGACCUGGAGAGUCCCAAGGCCCGAAAGAAAGCUGCUCAUCGGAGGUCCCCAGCCAACUCAGCAGGGCCGGGGGACGGUCACCAGCAGCCAGGGAGGCCCGGGUGUAAACACCAAGGUGUAGGUGUGCCUUGUGCCGGGCUAGAGCACUGCGCAGCCGGCUCCAAGGGAGGCCAUUGUGUUCUCCUGCUGAGUGAACUGGUGUCAGUGGACCCAAACUUCCAAGUGCCCUCCAAGACGACGGUCUGAAGAUGCAUACCACGUGGAUCAGGCCAAGAAGCACAGUAACAGUCCCCUCUUCUUGGAGUCUAGGAAGGACCAGAGGCCGGGUGGGGGAAGGGCUGCUGCGGCCAGAGGCGGGAAAGGAGAUGGGUCUCUUAAGCUGCAGGUUCCAGGCGCAAGGGAAAUUGCAUUAGUGGUGCCUUGUGGCAAGAGCCUGAGGAGGUUCAAGGUCAGAAUGUAGAAGAUUUUGAUGUCCAUCCCCACCCCAGAUGACCCUCUUAGGCCUCAAAAGCACCCUGAAACCUUUGGGACCACUACCACAACCAAGGGCCACUUUCCAGACUCCUGCACUGCAGUAUACAGAUCCCGACCUCCUUUGCGAUUCGAUAGACUCUGUUUACGAAAAUCACUUUUUUCCCCAGAGCAAAGGCCAGGUCAGGAAAAUUACAUGCCAUUUUCCCCCUUCCCAGCGAAUAAAGUCGCCUGGUUUGCAGGGAAAGUUUUACAAGCCAAUGAUGCAGGGAAGACCGCACUGUUUGGGUCCCUUAAUUGGCUCGCUUUGAACUCGGGUGGGGGUGGGGCAGACCCGACUCCCAAGAAAGAAUUCAGUUCUGGUCUAGGACCCUGCGACUGGCUUUCCAGCUAUGAGGUGGGAAAGGGUUAAGGGAGGACCACUUCUAUUUCUUUUUAAGGGAGAAGGAUCCUGACCCUUCCCAGCACCCUAAACCCAGGGUGAGGUUAUGAGGUCCAUAACCUCAAGGGCCAUCUCUAACUGGACCCCUACCCUCUAUAGAAAUCUGAUCUGUCUUGGAAAAACUGAAAGGAAGCCACUCAGACAGUUCGAGGGAAACCAGGUUUAUUCUUCCUGGACGCUAACUAGUGUGUCAUCACUGGGGUGUAACCCAGGCACUGGGGCUAUAGCCAUUUUACAUGGCUCUGCAUUUAAGGGCUGAUCCCUACACCUGCAGUUGCCCUGUCCCUGUAAGGUCAUGCUGACAACCUGAAAGUCAUUGAAACCGGCCCCUGGCUCUAGCCCCCAGAUGACAGCUCUGUUGACAAAUCCUUAGGUAUGGCUGUUUUAGACUGGAGGUUUGCCCUGGCUGGGAGGCACAUCUAAAUAGUUUACCACGGGUCUAAUCCAGGAGUGUAGGGUCCAGGUCCAGGUAUUAUGUGGGAAGCCACAGAUGCCACCCCAGGUCUGAGGCUUACCAGGAGGUCUAACCUUUCCCUCCCCCGGACUGGGGAUCCAAGACUCUGUUUAUGAAACACCCCCCCAUAUAAUACUAACACCCCUUCUCACAUUUUAGCUUAGAAGGUGGGGAGCCAGAGAGGGAAUGGGCCUAAUCAAGGUCACACAACAAGAAUACUCCUUCCAGGUCUCAGAUCCCUGCCAUCAGUUUGACCCUCCUCUCCCUGGACCUCACCUGAUGGUUCUGAUCAGUUGGGGCAACACAGGCAGCAGUGGACACAUAACCACUGAUAAGUAUAGAACAGGUGAAGCCACUGUCCUCCAGGCCCCACUUCCUCUCUGAACGGCCUCCAGUAGACAGCACCCAUGGCCCAACUAGGAGCAAAAAGCCUGUCUGUUACCUAACUUAGUUAAGACCCACUGGGUCCCGCAGGAGAAGUCCGCAGUGAGGACUCCUUCCCGGGCAGGGAUCAGAAGCCAGGCUUCAGUGAACCACCCACAGACUUAGGCCCUACCCUGGCUAUGCUGCCUCUCCUGCAAAAACGAAAGCAGUGGCUGAGUUUAGAGGACAGAGAUCACACGCAGAACCAAGAGUCAAGGAGGACCGCAUCUCUGCUUGCUUCCCCCGUCCUAGGUAGAGGGGGGUUCGAGUUAACUCCUGCUGCACGUGUUUACAGGAUUUAAUGGAGGCUUAAUCUUUACAAGGUCCUUGGAAAUAGUGCUACACAGCACACACUCGACAGGCAUGCGUUAAAUUAAAAAUCCAGCAACAGAAGCCUCAACCUUCAGUGGAAAGAUAACCCAGGAGGACAGGAGGAGUGGCCAGGCUGUCCUGUUUGCACAGUCAUGAGCAAACACACACACACACACACACACACACACACACACCAGUUUUGUAUAAGACUAACAACAGUGCCAUCAACAAACCCUAUCACAUACUAUCAAUAGAUAGAUAGAUAGAUAGAUAGAUAGAUAGAUAGAUAGAUAGAAUCAUACUCUAGUCAACUGCUAACUACUGACAGAUAGACAAACAAACAAAAACAAUAACAGACUGAGUGGGAUUAAAUUCUCCCUACAGCCAAGUUUCUCUCUCUCUCUUCCCUCUCUUCCUUCCUCAAACGCUUCUCUAAGACUGGGCCAGUAAGCACGGGCCAUCCAGCAGACAAAGAUACCCACCUAAAGGAGGGGGGACUACCCUUCUAACAGCCCGAUGCUUGCACAAUCCAGUAAAAUGUUGGACCGCUGCUGAGAACUGAGGCCGUGCCUGUCACAGCUCUGGUUCUUACAGCUCACGAGCUGUCACAGGUGAAAUGGGACCCUCCCUGGGAGAUAAGUAGCCCCCCGGGGCAGUCUGUCCUGACUCGGGAUCACAAGAGCUAAGUUCAGACAAGCGACCAAGCCUGUGGUAGCCCUGUCUGCUCUCCCAGUGUCACCUCUGGUCCUGUAACAACAGCUCCUGGUCUAGGGGCUGGGUGUACAGAGAUGCAGUAUCAAAUAAAAUUCACAGUAAACUGUCCAUCCCGGAAGGCGGCGCAGAUCAUCCAGUGGUACAGGGGGGCCGAGACUCCCGGAGGCGUCUAGAUUUGCUCAAACCCUCACGGUUCCACAAAAUAAAACAAAUGAUUUGUGGGGCGGGAAAUAACUUCAACAAUGAGUAUAAAACAGAAAUAAAACGUUGUCAUGAGUAAAAUUCAAACAAACAAACAAGCAAAAAAAAAAAAAAAAAAAACCAUUUCCAGCCUAGUCCCAUGGAAAUUCACACCUCACGGCUCCCUCAGCUGCCACCUGUCUCUCUCCAAAGCCUUCACAGGCAAGGGUCAAGUUUUAGGGGCCUGAGGAUUUUUGGCUACAUCCAGACUUCGGCAUGGGAUUCAAAUGUCACCCCAGAUGGAGUACAGAGGUACUGUCUGCUGCCUACCAGGUCUGCCAGCCAAACGACAGACUUCCCUCUCCCUAAAGACAUCUACCCAGGCGAGCCAGGCCAACCCGGUCUCAUCCCCUUUGAUGUGUGCCGGUGGCAAGUCCUUCAAUGUCUCAUAGAACGUUCAAAGCCCAAUUCAGUAUAGGAUUAGCUAUAUCUAUUCGGAGGUUUGACAUUUAAGCCAGGGAACCCAGAAAGCACACGGAGGAGAAGAGACAGGCAUGACCUCUGUCUGGACCACCCAGUAGACAUCCCAUCCGGAACCCCGAAGUCAGGCCACCAGCACCCAACCCCCAACCUUCACCCUGGGUUCUGUCCCUCGGACGGGAAGAAUAUGGGCAGACAGAACUAAUAAUUAGUUGUCCCUAUUUAACAGUAAGAAAGAGAUAAUCCACUCCACGGCAUACAUGGAUUUAGCCCAUCUUAAUUUGGAAGGGAAAUAACAAACUCCAAACAGAUCAAAUGCAAGUGUUCUGAGGCGUCCUGCAAGUGGGGUUAUCUCCAGUUCCCAGCACAAGCCACUUAUUUUCUUUCCCGAAUAUCCCAAGUAACGUCUUCGUUUUUCACGAUGAAUUUUCUGUACAGCCUGCAGCAGAGUAUCCUCAGAGCAGCGUGUAAAUUGUGGGGCUCACCAGGACCCCGUUCAGAAACUCCACGGCAGUGAGUUUCUAAGACCAUAAACCAAGCCCUGUCUAUACAAGGGUUAUCCAGGCUCAUCCUGGGCCCCUGCUCGGGCUUCUAACGAAGACACACAUGGGCAUCAGGCACACAUAGCACAGUGAUAGCCACCUGUCGCCUCCAAACUGGGGGUCUGCCACCUCCUGUCACUACUACCCUAAAUCUCAUAUUUCGGAAACCUGACAUCUGAGGUUAGCGGAGUGUUAGGUCUCAAACCCAGGACAACUGGCUGAGAUGCCUGUUACCUAUCAAAGUAGACUCUGGACUCCAGGUUCUCCCAGCAUCCCUCAGUCCCUACCGUUAUAGGGUUCUCCUAGCUUGUAUCGCCUUACCCUAAACUUCAACUAUCCAGGGUCUGGACUGGGCCUUCUCCUCCCCCAGCUUCUCUGGCCCUAUAUAACUGGCUAUGCCAGUCUCUUGGCCCAGGCUACCCUUCUUGGUUGAUGGUUCUUCUCUCUCUUCAUAGCCUGCCUUGGUCUAGUCAGGUUCUCUCUAGACUUUCCCAGAUGUAUCUAUCUCUGCGUGUUUUCUCUCUCAUAUCUAUAAUAAGCCCCUUGGGAUCAGCCAUGUCCUCUUUUUAUUGUUUUUUUCUUCAUUGAGAGAGAAGGAAGACAGCUGAGAGAGCAGACUCUUCCCUGCUGGGCCUCCUUUUGGGUGUGGACAAGGUGAUAACAGGAAAAAGCAAAUUUCCUUUGGAGGCCAUCUAAGGAAUUUCUAAGGAGAACGAAGAAUCCACGUGUGAGAGCCGGACUCCGCUCCAAGACUGAGAGAGUAGGAUUCCCAUUACUGCUAAGCCUGGCCCAUGCUCUCCUGUGCUCCCCCACCCCACCCCAGUCUGUCUCUGACUUGACCUGCCCUAUGUGCUAUAUCACUCCAUCCUCUGCAGGAUGCUAAAGAGCAGCCGCAGGAGGCUGGGAAAAUAGUGAUUCACCCUCAGACCAGAAAGGUGCCUGGAUUCAGUCCAGGGGACACCAUGGCCCCCAUCCCCUUUGCAGGGUGAGGUGCUGCACAAGUGACACAACGUGACACUAGACAGAGAGGUGGACGUGAACCCUCACCAUCUCCCCCCUGCCAUUGUAUCUGGUGUGUGAGUCUCAGAACACAGUUGAUGCUGCCACAGCUCUCUCAGGGAGCCAUUCCUAAAGCAAAGAAAAAGUGUAGGGCUGGACGGCAGAUUGCUAUGGUGGAGGACCUAAGGAUUGCUAUGGUGGAAGGAAGACCUCAGGUGAUUGGGGUUGUGUGGGUGGGGGUGGGGGCAAUAUGUGCACUGCACGUGUGCACCAUGCCAGUGCUCUCCCCUUCACCAGGAAGCCACAUGAAGGCUACAGUCAUCCUUGGCUGCACUCACAGAUAAGGAAGCUGACUGAGUAGAGCAGCUUUACGUCCUGCCUUUCCCACACAGCCUCAGACCCCAGACGAGUGAACCCCGUCCUCCGUCACUCCCCUAGACAAUCCCUCAGCAAAUGCUGUUAUCUCCUCAUCCCUGACCCAGGUCAGUUUAGGAGAGCGGACCUAGUGCCUGAGCGAAGUUCCUAACAGAGGCAGGGAGAGGCCACAGGAAGGAGUCACGAGGGACACACACACAGCACCUCCAUGAGCGGGUGUCAUCAUAGGCACCCCUUACAUUCUUGAGUCAGACCUCCAGCCAUGAGCUUUAAUUCUAAUCACCCCGUCCCUAGGCAAGCCUUGAAAUCAGCUACCAGGGACCUCCUCUUCCGUAGCAGGGGAGCAGCAAGAAGGUCCCACCAACAGUCAACAUCAAGGAUAACAUUCCCUAUGAGAGACACCCUCCCCAGGGAAACAGCAUAGGUGUUCAGUGAAUGGAUGGAUGAAUGGAUGAAUGAAUGAAUGUCCUCCCCAGGGAAACAGCAUAGAUGUUCGGUGAAUGGAUGGAUGGAUGAAUGAAUGAAUGAAUGAAUGAAUGAAUGAAUGUCCUCCCCAGGGAAACAGCAUAGGUGUUCAGUGAAUGAAUGAAUGAAUGAAUGAAUGAAUGUCCUCCCCAGGGAAACAGCAUAGGUGUUCAGUGAAUGAAUGAAU